rnacentral:lncRNA from 1 species
CUCCCAUGACCUAAUCCAUGUGCGUCAUUACCACCCCAAAAUGGACUGCUCUCUGUGACUCCUCUCGAUCUUGAACAAUGAACCACAACCCAACCAUUUCUUCACUCCCUCUUUCUUCAUAAACAAUUGAUAUUCAAAGAAACACCCUAAUUUCUCUAUCUUUGUGCUCCAUAUAUUUCAACACUAGAUAAGAUUUCAACGCUUGAUACUAGUGCAAAUUCUCGUGGCCAUGUAAUCAUUUUUUUAACAUCUACAAGCAUUGUAAAAUAUUUCCAUUAACUUAUUUUUCUAGAGAAUGGAUUUGGUUCAUUUUGACAUGGGUUGCAUUGUAAAGAAGGCCGAUGAAUCGCAUCGUUUCUAGUUCGGAGAACAUUCCCUCCGUUUCUACGACGGCUACUUCCGAACAUGGAAAGACUAAGACAAUGAUAAGAAGUUGGGUUUGUACCCACUGUUUGAGCUCGCUCGUCUGUUGAUGUUAUUCGUUGAAAUUUUGGCUGAGCUUUGUUCAAGCUGGUCUCGACUUUUAAUCAUUUCUAUUCAAGUUUUCUUGUUCCUGCCAGUUUCAGAUCUAGGUGUGAUUUGGUUUAGCUGAUUUUCUUUGCAUAUAGGUACACACCAAAUCUCUGUAUUUACUUUUGAGUUAUAUACUUGGAAUUUGUUGUUUCAACUUGUUUUAGCAUGAACAUGUAUUAUUUAUUUUACUUGAGAUGUGGUGAAAUGAUGAAAUUACUUUUUAAAAGUGAGAGCCAUAAUGUUGAAACCGGCAGUUUUUUUGUUUUUUGUUUUUUGAUUUAGCUAUUUGAUAGCUGGAUUUGUAAUGUUACAUGGAAAAUUAAGGUAUUUUGAAUAAAAGAGUUCAUGUUGGUUUAGGAUAUAUGUGACUCUAGAAUCAGUUAUUACUUUAAAUUAAUUAUUGUUGUAGUUUUAGUUCAUGAAGGUUGUUGUGGUAGGAUAUAAA